rnacentral:lncRNA from 1 species
CACUGCACUCCAGCCUGGAGACAGAGUCAGACUCCAUCUUAAAACAAACAAACAAACAAACAAUUAGCCAUCACAGGGUGACAUCAGGAAGUAUGGGGAGAGUCUCUUCAUUGACAGAAAUAUUAGUACUAGAAGUGACUCCUAAACAGAGUCCAGAGACCAGAAGGGACAGAACAGCGAGCACUUUGCUCUGCCUCUCAAGGCUUCUGUAGGGGUUGGAGUUCAUUGUCUCUGAUCUCUUCAGGCCCCUCCCUCAGAGAGAAACAUCCGUAACACACCUAACCUAGACCUUAGAAUACAACUGUGGUGCGGUAUGAAGGGGAAGAGUCUGUCCUUUUCUCCACAUCACUAAAGUUUACAUUUUUCUGUUUUCCUAACUUAACAGAGGCCAGACACCCAAGGGGAGGGUGGGAGAUGUAGAGAGAAAUCACGUAUGCUUCAAAUAUAUGAAAUACAGUGUUUUUCUAAGUUUCGGUUAUCUCUUCUUAGUUGGAAUUUGUGUAAGUGGACAGAUGAAGGGUAGAGGGGGGAUGAAGAAAGAGAAAUUGUGGGGGAGGAGAAGCUCAGACUCAACACUGUCUCCACCCACCCUUCUGUCAGAUUGCACUUCAACCCUAACCCUAACCUCAGUCUCCCACCACUGAGCCCCUCUCCAAGCUCUCCUGGGUCCACUGCUCUUCCUCUUGCUAAUGCUGCUAAGGUCUAUUGUUGGAAACAGUAAUUCCCUGUUAAAUAUUACCUACAUUCAAUAUCUUUCCUUCUAGCCUAUUGCACAAUCCUUGAACCACUGACUCACACUUGCUUUAUAUAAAUAUAUAUAUUUUGGUUACAAUCAUAGACUUUGCAGUCACCAAAUUUCUGCUUCACCUAUUGUGUUCAGCUCUCUCAUCCAUAAAAUUGCGAUAAUGAUAGUUCUUAUGCAAUAGGUUAGUUAGGAAGAGUAAAUGAAACAGGAUAAGGAAAAUUCCUAGUACAGGGCCUGGCAAGAAAUGAGCUCCCAAUAGUUGUUUGGUAUUAUCAUUCUCUUUUAUCUGACAUAGUUUCCCCAUGAGAUCACAAUGCUGAUUAUUUGCAAACUGAACUGGUAAACAGAAUACAAAGAUGAAGCAGUAGGGUCCCUUCUUUUGGCCAGCUCCAAGGAUAAUUGGAGUGAUACUAUGAUAUGCUUCCGUUCGUUUUCAUCCAUGUCAACCAUGAAAGACAGAGUUGAUCUCAGCCUGAGCUAGAGAUGGAUCCCCAUCCAUGUACCUUUGCUCAACUGUCCUCAGACCAGAUCCAGAAUUCACCCUGCUGUUUCUCCAUGAGUCUGACCUGCAUCAACUGCCUCCCUUAUUCUGGGAUUCCAGUUGUGGAGCUCAAGGACAAGUCCAUUCUGGGCUGGCUGUAUCCAACUUCUUUAGUCCAACUAUAUCCCCACUGGAAGCCAGGCUCUUUCCAACAGCUGUCACCCAUGCCUCUUUCUAUGUUUGUUAUCUGUCUCUAGGUUCUGGUAACUACUUCCUUCCCUUGCCCCUUCUGGCCUAGGGUGCUACCAAUCCCUCCUCCAAAUCCAACUGUCACUAGCCUCAAAGUACUUGUAGCUUCCUCACCUUACUUUCACCUUAAUAAAUGGUCCCCCUACUAUCUCUCUUCAAAGCACCCAAUUUGAGUGUGCCAUCUGUUUCUUGCCAGGAUCCUGGUUGGUACAUCAACCAAGCUGCACUGAUGGAGGAGCACUGUGCUGAACUUUAGGAAUGAAGCCACAGGGCCCUCACUGCCCCCAUAGUCACCUUGGUCAUCUUCUGCCUCCCUGAAAGACUAAAUUCAGUCAGUUCAGAUACAUACACAUCCAGACAUGUCAGGGAAAACUCCAUUUUGUAAGGAUCUCUGCUUAAAAUGCCAAAAGUUUGAAAGUUGGCAAACACUUGAGAAAAGCACAGUUCUCUGUCUUACUCUUACUCUAAACUUGGAGAUAAAUGCAUUUUUAAAAUUGUGCAUGUUAGAGUGCUAACGUGUACAAGAUCAUUUCUGGUGAGACACCACAAACAAUAUUUUAUGAGGCCAAAAUAAGAAAGAAGGAAAUGAAAUAGCUCAGGAAUCUCAGGAAGAGCUCAUCGAACACUUUGCCUUUAUCUCAGACCAUUUUAUCCACAGCCCUGUUAAUCAGGAUUGGAUAUACCUCCAUGAGGGAGUCUUAAACGGAGGGAAAGAGAUGCCACAACUAAAAAAAAGAAUGCAAUAGAAGUUUGUCUUAAUGCCUGUUCUGUGAUGCACAACUUUCGUAAGCCAAAAUUUUAACCUUAUGAACAAUCAGUUCUGUGCUGCCCUUAGCAGAGAACCAUAAAUUAAAGAUAAGCAAUGGUUCAGACUUUCCAGGGCCUUGACUCAGGAGUAACUCUGAAAUCCCAACCAAAUAUGUAUUUGGUUAAGCAAUUUGGCACAUUUUUCUAUUUUGAGGCAUUAAACUAUAAUUACAAGUCACUUUUAUUUCAUUCCAAAUAAAUGUCCCUAAAGUAGAUAGAACUAGAGGUUUCCUUUUUUUAAAAAAAGGAAACAGGAAAACAACAAACAAAACCAAAAAGAACAAAAGCAAAACAAAACUUAGUCAAGCUAACAAAUUGCAUGUAUGGUGUGUUUUAUAAUUUAAUCAAUAUAAAAAAUUGAGUGUGCUAGUGCCUCAGGAGGACUCAGAGGACUCAAAUACUCAAUAGGUUAUCUGGAGGAAUUUCUCAUUGGAGAAAAAAAUUAAAGUUCUUUUGAACAACCCACAUAAUCAAGAUAGUAAUAAUUUAACCUCAAGUUUUUCCUUGAUUAAAAAAUCCCUUUGCUAUUCUGCUCCAGUGUUUGUAAUAGAUGGUUCAACAAGACUGGUGUUUUGUUAGUUGGAAAAGUAAGCUGAUAUGAGGGGUGGGGAGAGGAAGGGCAGAAAUUUAUUAACAAUCAGCAAGUAAAGAAAAACAGCCUGCAAAUUGUAAUGAAAGGAAGAAAGGACAGGAAAGGAAAGGUAGGGCUGGUGGAGAGUGACUGUUCUGCCUGCUUACUGCACAGGCCAAGAACAAACUCACGAUAAAUACUCCAGGUCCUCAAGAAAAAGGUUUCUGUGCUGAAUUAUGGUAGUCUACCUGAAAUUGGGAUGAUGAAUUAGAAAACCUCUCUCAUCGCUUCAAGUCUUGUGAUUUAUUCAUUCAGUGCCAUUUAUUGUAUAACUAUAUAAUUUCUAAAGGGGGAUAACUACAAGAAAAAGAUGUGAUUUCUUCUUUCAGAGAUCCCCAAAUAUAGAAAGCUAUUCAUAUACUGCUUAGAUAAACAAAGAUUAUCUUCUUUUUCUACAUUCUAUAUAAUGUUCCUUAAACUCAAGCUCUCUUCUCCCCAUCUCUACCUUACCCCUCUGGGUAGCAAGGAAAAAUAAAAAUAAUGUCAUUCAAUGGUU